UUUUGGCAUUAAGCCAUUAGAAAAAGAUGACUGUUACUUAAAAAGAAAAAUGAAGACCAGGCACUACCUGAGAUCUGACAGCUUCUUGGUUUGAGUCUGAACUGUGCUCUUAGUGCAACUUAGGCCCUGCAUUUCCUCCUCACAGAAGCAUGAUCAGCCUUCAGAAUAAUUCUGGAAGAACGGUGCAGUCCUGGAAUCCCAAAAGGAAACCUCUUCUAAGAUACCCAAAGAGGAAGUUGGUUGCAUUGCUCAAUAAGAAGCCCCUUGAAAAUGACAAGCAGAAGGGAGUGACCACAUGAAUAUUUCCUGUGCUGAGCAAGCUUGUUGCAGCAAAAUAAGGGAAGCCUGACAGCAUGGCACAAAGCCUGAAACAUUUGAAGACCCAUAAAACACACUUCAAAUGAAUGCAUUUUGUAAAAUCUCAUUAGUUUUUGAGGCUU
rnacentral:lncRNA from 1 species